AUAGAUUACUAAUUAAAGAAAAUUUUAUCAUGAUGGGCGGAAACAUGAAAGUACAUGGCCAAUAUUAUAGCAAUAUCGUUAAGUAUCCUGAGAAUCCAUAAAGUUAGAGGCCGAACAAAGAAAUGUCGGGCAUUACGAUGUAAUACGGUUUAUUCUCUCGGCAGAGUGCUCUCCCGCUCUGGCCACUUGAACUCUUUAAAACUUUUAAAAGCUACAAGUCGAUAAAACAAAAGUUGCUCGAGUUGUACGCGUGCAAUAUAAACAAAAUAAUAAUAAAAAAAAUUGUAAUGGUUAUAACGUACCUACAUAGCGGAAUACAUCAAAUAGUAGAAUUUUACGUCAACGGUGUUCGGUUCAGAUUCAUGUUCUUCUUUGACUGACGAGUCCCUAAUGGUCUGUUACAUCUAAUGAGAUGUUCAAUGAUUCACCACGGUUUAAACCACAUAAUAUCACAGACGGUCAAAUUGUAUGGUGAUUGAAAACAAUUUUGAAUUCAAACGUAAUGACGAAGACAUAUUUGUUAAUAAUCUUUUUAAUUUUUUUAAUUUUAAAUUUAUAACA